ensembl:lncRNA
CCUAUCUCUAAGAUAGACUUUAUUAGUCAACAGUAAGUUCAGAGCAACUGAAGAUAUACCUGCAGUGAGCCAGCAGUAAACAUUCUUACCUCACUCUAAACACUGAAAUAACACGGAAAGUGUGCGAACCUGAGGCUAUUUUUAGAGAUANCAGCUGAUUGUUGUGAGAAGAGCAUCAGUCUCUCAGCUGCUGCAGGAGGAUCUGUGAACAUCAGCUGCAGAUACCCACAAUCCCACAGUGCUGAUGUGAAGUUUGUCUGCAGGAGAUCUGGAUCUGAUCUCUGUGCUGAAGAGACGUCUGUGAAGGAGAGCAGAAGAUGGAGCGCUGAGGGACAGAUGCAGCUGUAUGAUGACAGAGAGCAGCAGCUCCUGACGGGAAUCAUCAGUCAUGUGACUCAACAACAUUCAGCUGAAUACUGGUGUGGAGUUCAGUCUGAUCAAGGACACAAGAGCUUCAUCACACGAGUCCUCGUCAGUGUUACAGAUGCAAACAGUCACAGAAUAUCUACAUCAUCAUCAACAUCAACAUCAUCAUCAUCAUCAUCUUCAUCUUUCUCAUCAGGAGAAUCUCCACUGGUCUCAUCUGUGUCUCCUAUAACAGGCUCUUCUCUGAUCAUCAGUGUGUCUGUGCUUCUGCUUCUGAUCUUCACUGUGAUUCUGAUAGUGAUCAUCACUCUCUGGAGGAGACGGCAGUUGCACAACGCUCAUUCCUCAUUCAAAAGAUCUCAAAGGACACCAGCAAACAUUGACACGGUUGGUAGAAUUAAUGUGAUUAUAAAACAGAUGUUUGUUUUGAUCAAACCUAUAACUAAUUGUAGUAUCUGAUUAUUGAAAGACUGAAUUAUUAUUAAAUAUGUAAAAGCUCUUUCUCUCCCCAGGCUUCUCAUUAUCAUUGUGAUUACGAGGAGACUGAAUACAAUCACAGACAAUUACCCACAAACCCCUCUGAUUCUACUAAUGCAAUCUAUGCUAAUCCAGAAUUACCCACAAACCCCUCUGAUUCUACUAAUACCAUCUAUGCUACUCCACAAUUACCCAUAAACCCUUCUGAUUCUACUAAUACAAUCUAUGCUAAUGCAGAAUUUCCAUAAACCCCUCUGAUUCUUCCAACAGCGUUCACACUUUAACAUCGCAGAAGUCCACGUCUUUCAGUCAUUAUCAUCCACUGAGGGUCUGAAUGACACAGACGGUCUUAAUGAUGUUCCUUCAACAAUUAUCUGUCUUUACAUUAAUGUCUGUCAUUGCAUGCAGCUGUGUGACUACAGUAAAUAUAUGUUAGCGAUCUGCUGUUUUUAAUUUAUUUGCUCAGUAAACACAACCAUUGCACCUGCUGAAGGGAUUUAUGUAAUUUUCUCAAUAUGUUUAAAACAUGGCAUGUAUUUGUGAACAAAAUAAAAGAUGACUGUUCUUUAUGACA